GUCAGUGCCAGCUGGAAAGAGGGUUGGAAGCUCAAGCUCCGAGCCGGGGAUCGGCCCCAAAGGCUUCUCAGCUCUUUCGCCCGGUAGGACUUUGGCUCCUGCCCCGGAACCCCGGCAACAGCUGUCCAGUGCCAGGUGUGCAUGUGCCGCCUCUCGCCCCAGCCGGGGUCCCCUCAGUCCGCUGCUGGCGUCCCCUUCCCCUCUACCGCCCGCGAGUCCUCUCCUCCCGAGCUUCCUCUCCUUGGCCGGCCGCCGGCCCGUCCCCGCCCCUGGGCUGGCUGUGUCCCGGGCGGGCGGGGUCUGCGAACCCGGAUGGGGCGGGCGGCUGGGGCUGGGGAUGGCCUUCGAGCGGGGCUGCAGCCCGCGUCCCCCACCCCGCUUUCCCUGCCCCGCGACCCCGGGGCUGCCCUCCUCUCCCUUUCCCGAUCCCUGCGGUCCAGCUCAGUGGCGUCUGCGCUGCUCCCCCGGCUGAGAGCCUCCAGCUGUAAACCCCAGCUUCUCCCGGUGGAGUCGGGAAAAGGGAGUGUCAGUGCUGAGCGAGCUUCCGUCUCCUCCCUCAGUGUUUCUGCCCCAGAAUCUGGGAAGCAGGAGCAAGGAACUCAAGGAGAGAUCCAUGAAGACAUCUGACUGUGUUAAGAGACGACAGUCACAGCCACACGGGGAGCGAGGACACUUGCAGCAAAGUAAAACGACUUCACAACUAUUGCAUCAGAACUGCAGGUGUGAGAGAGCCUAAGCCUGUUUCAGAGUGCAGGGGACAAGAGGAAAGUAAUGUGUAAGAAUGCAGGUGACUCAGAAGCAUGCAUCCAAGCCGUCCUUCCGUGUCAUCACCAUCUAGAAGCGGUGCCUGAAUCUUCUGAAUUUCUCCAGAAUGUGGUUCACAAUCACCUUCGACAACGUUCCGAGGAGAGAAUUCAGCAGUGCAGCAUCCUCUUCGAGCUCUAUGAGUUGAUGGGCUGCCACUGCAAAUCCGCCUUCUUCAAGCGGGUGGACCCCGUGCAGCGCGCGGCCCCCGGCAUCCCGGAGCCUGGCGGGAAGAGCUGCUACCGACUCCUUCUGCAGACGCUUCCUGGCUACAGUCUGUCGCUGAUUCUGCAGGACUUCAGCAAAGGUGUUGGAACUAAAACAUCGCUUCAGUCCCAUUAACCAUGCCUGGUUUGGGCCCUGCUGUCCUGUCUCAUCAGGGUGAAUUGUGAUUCGUUUAGAACAUGGCUCAGCAGACUUUUUCUGUCAAGGGCUUGGGAGUCAAUAUUUCAGGGUCUGCAAAACUCCUGAUCUCUGGUGCAGCUGCUCAGCUCUGCUGUUCAGACGCCAGAGCAGCCGGACAAUCCACACACCCACAGAGCUUUAUUAACAGCGGUGGCUGGGGCUGGAUUGGGUGUAUGAACAGCAGUUUGUCCCCACAGCCUCCUCACUAUUGACGCCUGCACCAGAGCGUACAUUUGCGACAAUGGGUGAACCUGCACUGACACGUCAUCAUCACCCAGAGCCCAGAUUUGACACUAGGAUUUACAUUUGGUGGUGUGCACUCUGUGGGUUUGGACAGAUGUACAAUGACAUGUAUCCACCGUCACAACAUCAUACAGAGUAGUCUGUCUUAGUGACCCUAAAAAUGCUCCGUGCUGCACCUCAUUCAUUGCUCCUUCCCGUCUAGCCUCUGACAGCCACUGAUCUUUUAGUCUCUGUGGUUUUGCCUUUCCCAGAACACCAUACAGUUGGAAUCAGACAGUUGCACAACCUUCCCAGAUUGGCUUCUUUCACUUAGUAAUAUGCAUUUAAGGUUCCUCCAUGUCUUUCCAUGCCUUGAUAACUCAUUUCAUUUUAGCACCAAAUAAUGGUCCAUUCUCUGGCUGGACCACAGUUUAUUUAUCCAUUCACCCACUGAAGUACAGCUUAGUUGCUUCUGAGUUCUGGUGAUUAUGAAUAAAGCUGCUAUUAACAUCUGUAUGCAGAUUUGUGUGUGGACACAAGUUUCCAUUUCGUCGAGUAAACACCAAGGAGCACAGUUGCCGGAUCAUAUGGUAGGAGUAUGUCUAGUUUUGUAAAAAAUUGCCAGACCGUCUUCCAAAGUAUCUGGGCCAUUUUACAUUCCCAACAACAAUGCAUGAGAAUUCCUGAUGCUCCACAUCCUCACCAGCAUUCGGUGCUGUCAGUGUUCUGCGGUUUGGCAGUUCUGACAGGUGUGCAGUGGUACCUCGCUGUUUCAGUCUGCAUCCCCUUGAUGACAGAUGCUGUGGAGCAUGUUUCCAUAGACUUCUUUGGCAUCUAGAUUUCUUCUUUGAUGAGGUCUGUGUUCAGGCAUUUUGCUCAUUUUUUAAUCAGGUUAUUCAUCCUUCUUGUUGAGUUUAAAGAAAUUUUGGUAUAUUCUGGAUAUCAGUCCUUUAUCAGUGUGUCCCUGCCCUUCACCUGCAGCACCAGAGUUGUCCUUUGGGUCUCAGUGGAGUGUCAGCUCUUCAAAGAGGUUCCCUGUUUUCCUUCAGCCUAAAUAUUGUCCUGGUAUUUUUCACUUUCAUUGACUCAUUUUGUUCUUUUUAAAUAGCAUUUCCCAUAAUUUGUAAGUACAUUAAAAAAAGGGGCAAUGAUUGAACACAGCCUCCCCCACCAGGCUAUGUGCCCUGUGAGAGCAGAGGCCCUGUCCCCACUCACCGUUUCCCAUGACAGCACAUUGCACAUGUCCAUGUAAAAGUGUGUAACGUGGGGCUAAACCUGAUGAGCAGCUAUGACGACAUGUUUUGGCUACCAUUUAUUGAGUAGACUUUGUUUCUGAUAUUAAUUAUUAAAUCACAUGAAUGAAACUUGUUUGUUUUGAAAAAUAAAACAACAAAGCACACUUCCAUGUGAUUGGUACUUUCUACUUAGCCUUCUGACCCAGGAGGGUAUGUUCACCAUCAUUUUGUGGAGGAGUUUGGGGAGGUAAAGUAAGAGAGUGAGAUCAAAUAAAGUAAAAAUGAUAAUUAUCAGUUGGCUUUAUUUUCACUAAGACAUAAAAGUUACUUUAAACCCUAUCUCAGCUGUUGUUCUGUUGUUUUAAACAUUUCUCAUAGAAUUAAAUGGAAGCCCACUAAACCCUGAAAGGGAAAUUGUGUGCUCAGGUCCUAAAAAGUGUUUAUGUCUAUUUCUUGGAAUGCACAAUUUCCCUGCUGGUUACAGAAAGUCGAGGCGGGAACACAGCCGUGCGCUGUGUGUGUCUGCCGGCUUCACGGGCUGCUCACUGUCAUUUUCAUUUUCUUGUGUUGCAGUUUAUGAAGGUUUUCCAUGAGAUAUAUUGCUCAGCCUUUUCCUGAUUGAAGGAUUGAAUUUUCCACAGGAAAUCUUAUGAAAGAGAGUGACAAGGCACAUGGGUUUCCCAAAAAUGAAUAGUUGAUGUAAUAAACUCUCACUAUGGUGAACUUUUUUAAUACAAGCCAGUUGAAAAUUUUAUCACUAGGUCAUAUGCCACAAAUCUGUCUUAAGAAUAAAAAGAUUCAAAUUUUAUAGAAGAAGCAGUUUGAAUCAAGUAAUAAUUAUGAUUUGUACAGUAUUUGGUGUUAGAACUUAUACUCACUCUUAACAUAAUUGCCUGUGGUAGGAACUGGAUCAUUAUUUAUUUAUUAAAAAAAAAUCCACUAGGUGCUAUUUGUCCCAUUCUUGAUGCGGCAGUGCUGAGGUUAGUUAAGUUGGGCCAUUUAGGAUUCUUAGCUAGGAUUUCCGGAUAUUGAUUUCAGCCUUUUUAUCUUUUUUACAAUCUUUUCAUUUGUGUCGGCCUUUGGUCUUUUGACAACGUGGAAAUACUGCACGGAUCUGCCUUUCCCUUUUUUCCUGUCUUUGUGGGAAAAGAUUUCUGUAAGAGAAACUACUAGGAUAUUAAGGAUUUUGUGUGGGGUAAGUUCGGUCAGUUCUAAGGAUUUAAAUUAAUACGUAUUUAAAUUGCUAUUCAGCUAAUGACAGUAAAAUUAUAAACUAACUUAAGUAUACAUCAGUAAGUAUAGUAAAAUAAGCCCAUCACCCAGAUUAAGGAAUUCACAAACUUUUCCAUAUUUCCUUUAUUCAGACCUUUGUCCUUUUAUUUGUCCUUUGUUGAAGUAUUUGACAGCAAAUCCAAGAAGACAUGUCAUUUUACCCUAUGUACUCAAGUAGGCAUGUCUGAGAAAUGAGGGCCUUUUCUUUGAUUAGGUUUUUCCAUUUGACUUAUGUGCUUGUUAAGUACCAGCUGUAUCAGGCAUCUCACUAGGCAUUAGGGAUCCUUGGGGCAAUGAGACAAUCCUGGCUCCCAAGGAAGUUAAGCGCUGAUGGAAGAAACCAACACAGGAGCUUGGGUGCCUCACUUAAGGUCCCUGCUGGAUGACACCAAUUGGACAAAAUUUGUGCACAAUACAGUAGGAUUCACAGAAGGGACUGGUCAGACUUGUAGGGCAGGCAGUGAGAGAGGCGGUCAGCAGGGCUACAAGAGGAGGAAUCAUUUGAUCAGAAUCUGAAAUCCUUUCUGCCAACCUUUCUACCAAGCCCCCAGGGCCCAUCACACACAACCCUGUGCUGUAACUGUUUUUGAUUCCAGUUACCUCAUCUCCUUCAGGAAGGAUUUUAAGGUGGAAAAUAUUUAAAAUCAGUAAUUGUUACCAGAAGGGACAGAGAACAAGGAAAAUGGAAACAACACAAAUGUCCAUCAGCACAUGACUGGAUAAAGACGAGGUGAUACAUAUAUACAAUGGAAUACUACUCAGACAUAAAAGAUGCCAUUUGCAGCAACAUGGAUGGACCUGAAGACUGUCAUUCUAAGUGAAGUGUGGUGGAAAGAGAAAGAAAAACGCCAUAUGACUUCAUUUAUGGGGAAUCUAAAAUUAAUAGCAAUAAUAAUAAGACCACAAAUGAACUAAAUAUUAUUUUGAUUUCUUGAAUAUGUGUAAGUACAUCUGACUGUCCUUUGUGAUUUGAUUACCAUAUUCUGUUUAUUAUUCUUUUGUAGAUGUCCUUAUUCCUCUGGUAACUGUAAUUUUAAAAAUCUAAAGCUCUAAUCUGUUCUUAGAAAGAAUAAUUAGUACAUAUAUGUAAACUAAAAAAUGCAGUAUGCUCUAUACAUGUAUUUACAUGCAAUACGUGUAUGUGAAGUUGAACUGUAAAAAUUCUACCUAAUAAAACUGAAAAAGGAAAAAAAUAAAAAAUUUAUUUAACAAAAUCACCCCUCUUUAGA